rnacentral:rRNA from 1 species
CCUACGGGAGGCAGCAGUGGGGAAUAUUGGACAAUGGGCGAAAGCCUGAUCCAGCAAUGCCGCGUGAGUGAUGAAGGCCUUAGGGUUGUAAAGCUCUUUUACCAGGGAUGAUAAUGACAGUACCUGGAGAAUAAGCUCCGGCUAACUCCGUGCCAGCAGCCGCGGUAAUACGGAGGGAGCUAGCGUUGUUCGGAAUUACUGGGCGUAAAGAGUACGUAGGCGGUGAUUCAAGUCAGAGGUGAAAGCCUGGAGCUCAACUCCAGAACUGCCUUUGAAACUAGAUCGCUAGAAUCAUGGAGAGGUUAGUGGAAUUCCGAGUGUAGAGGUGAAAUUCGUAGAUAUUCGGAAGAACACCAGUGGCGAAGGCGACUAACUGGACAUGUAUUGACGCUGAGGUACGAAAGCGUGGGGAGCAAACAGGAUUAGAUACCCUGGUAGUCCACGCCGUAAACGAUGAUAACUAGCUGUUCGGGGUCUACGAUCCUGAGUGGCGCAGCUAACGCAUUAAGUUAUCCGCCUGGGGAGUACGGUCGCAAGAUUAAAACUCAAAGGAAUUGACGG